UACGAAGGGGGCGAGCGUUGUUCGGAAUUACUGGGCGUAAAGGGCGCGCAGGCGGCUCUGAAAGUCAGAUGUGAAAGCCCCGGGCUUAACCUGGGAAUUGCAUUUGAUACUCUGGAGCUUGAGUGUGGGAGAGGAGAGUGGAAUUCCCAGUGUAGAGGUGAAAUUCGUAGAUAUUGGGAAGAACACCGGUGGCGAAGGCGGCUCUCUGGACCACAACUGACGCUGAGGCGCGAAAGCGUUGGGAGCAAACAGG
rnacentral:rRNA from 1 species